rnacentral:rRNA from 1 species
AUUGAACGCUGGCGGCAGGCCUAACACAUGCAAGUCGAACGGUAACAGGAAGCAGCUUGCUGCUUCGCUGACGAGUGGCGGACGGGUGAGUAAUGUCUGGGAAGCUGCCUGAUGGAGGGGGAUAACUACUGGAAACGGUAGCUAAUACUGCAUAAUGUCGCAAGACCAAAGAGGGGGACCUUCGGGCCUCUUGCCAUCGGAUGUGCCCAGAUGGGAUUAGCUUGUUGGUGGGGUAACGGCUCACCAAGGCGACGAUCCCUAGCUGGUCUGAGAGGAUGACCAGCCACACUGGGACUGAGACACGGUCCAGACUCCUACGGGAGGCAGCAGUGGGGAAUAUUGCACAAUGGGCGCAAGCCUGAUGCAGCCAUGCCGCGUGUAUGAAGAAGGCCUUCGGGUUGUAAAGUACUUUCAGCGGGGAGGAAGGGAGUAAAGUUAAUACCUUUGCUCAUUGACGUUACCCGCAGAAGAAGCACCGGCUAACUCCGUG